UACUUGGGAGGCUGAGGCAGAAGAAUAGCUUGAACCUGGGAGGCAGAGGUUGCAGUGAGCCGAGAUCAUGCCACUGCACUCCAGCCUGGGCAACAGAGUGAGAUUCCGUCUCUAAAUAAAUAAAUAAAUAAAACAAGAAUAAAAGCUUUAGACUUAAGAAAAAAAAUCUGCUAGGCAUGGCGGCUCACGCCUGUCAUUCUCCUGCCUCAGCCUUCCGAGUAGAUGGGACUACAGGCGCCCGCCGCCACACAAGGCUAAUUUUUUGUAUUUUUAAUAGAGACAGGGUUUCACCAUGUUAGCCAGGAUGGUCUCGAUCUCCUGACCUCGUGAUCCGCCCACCUCUGGCCUCCCAAAGUGCUGGGACUACAGGCAUGAGCCACCGCGCCCGGCCCCCUUCAUGUUUCUGAUUCAGGAGGUCUGGGGUGGACCUGAGAAUUUGCAUUUCUAACAAGUUCCCAGGUGAUUUUGGUGCUGCUAGUCAGGGGACCACACUUUGAAAAGCACAGGGCUUGUUCCUAGCCCAGUGCUUGGCACAGAGCAAACAUCACACAGAUGCUGCAUCCUAUUCCAGCACCAGAGGGGCAGAGAGGCUGCAGGGACUUCAGGGAAAAGGGGUCUUGCCUGCCUCUGACUUGCUGUGGGACUAGGGGCAUAAGCUGCUUCUCUCUCUAGGCCUCUCUCCAUCUCCCUUCUAUGAUAGGAAGAGGCAGGAUGAGAUGGCUCUAGUUUCUGCUCUGUUUCUGAUUUAGAGAAAAGGAUAUAAAAGAGUGCUGUCAACACUUGCAAAGUAGAGAAAAAUUUAGAGGUGCUUUGCUGCCCCAACAAUCCCCAGCCCUGGCUCAGGAAAGCUGUGCAAUCUUUAGGACAAACCUUGGUUUUAACAUCCAAGAAAGGCUGGAUGCAGUGGCUAACGCCUAUAUUCCCAGCACUUUGGGAGGCCGAGGCGGGUGGAUCACCUGAGGUCAGGAGUUCCGGACCAGCCUGGCUAACAUGGAGAAACCUCUACUAAACAUACAAAGAAAUCUCUACUAAACAUACAAAAAAUUAGCCUGGUAUAGUGGCGGGCCCCUAUAAUCCCAGCUACUCAGGAGGCUGAGACAGGAGAAUCGUUCGAACCCAGGAGGUGGAGGUUGCACUGAGUCGAGAUCAGGCCAUUGCACUCCAGCCUGGGCAAAACUUCAUCUCAAAGAAAACCCAAAAAAAAUCCAAGAAUGGGUCCCAACUUUGAAGCCCCUGGGCAGUUUGUAAAGGACAUUUCCCCCCUACCUGGGGCCAGGCUGCUUCCCUGCAUGGAAGGGCAAAGUCUCAGCAGAGAUGAACCAAAUCACUCACUCAUUCAGCAAAUGAGCUGAAAAUCAGGAGUGAAAGUAGACCUCUUAAAAUAUAAGGCAGGGGCCAGGUGCAGUGGUUUACGCCUGUAAUCCCAGCACUUUGGGAAGCUGAGGUGGGAGUAUUGAGCCCAGGAGUUUGAGACCAGCCUAGGCAACAUAGCAAGACUUUGUCUUUACAGGGGAAAAAAAAAAAAAAAAGUAACUGGGCUUGGUGGCAUGCACCUAUGGUCCCAGCUACUCAGGGAGGCUGAGGUGGGAGGAUCACUUGAGCCUAAGAGGUAGAAGCUGCUGCGAGCUGUGAUCUCAACACUGCACUCUAGCCUGGGGAACACAGGAAGACCCUGUCUCCCAAAAAAAAAAAAAAAAAAA
rnacentral:lncRNA from 1 species